UGGGGAAUAUUGCACAAUGGGGGAAACCCUGAUGCAGCGACGCCGCGUGAACGAAGAAGGUAUUCGUAUCGUAAAGUUCUGUCCUAUGGGAAGAUAAUGACAGUACCAUAGAAGAAAGCUCCGGCUAAAUUCGUGCCAGCAGCCGCGGUAAUACGUAUGGAGCGAGCGUUGUCCGGAAUUAUUGGGCGUAAAGGGUACGCAGGCGGUUUAAUAAGUCGAAUGUUAAAGAUCGGGGCUCAACCCCGCAAAGCAUUGGAAACUGAUAAACUUGAGUAGUGGAGAGGAAAGUGGAAUUCCUAGUGUAGUGGUGAAAUACGUAGAUAUUAGGAGGAAUACCAGUAGCGAAGGCGACUUUCUGGACACAAACUGACGCUGAGGUACGAAAGCGUGGGGAGCAAACAGG
rnacentral:rRNA from 1 species